AAGGUGGUUGGGCUUCAUCGUUUGAGAAGCUCACAGAAACCUCUCGAAGCUCUCUUUCUCCUCCUAAAAUCCGAGAAGGAAUCACCUUUGAGAGCUCAGUUAGCAUUUGAAAAGGAAGACGGCUAUGAUCGCAAGCACAUCAGCGGUAGUUCUGUAGCAGAGUUGAGCAUCAAACAGGUUUUCAGCUUGAGGACCUUGACUUACGAUGGAAGUUAGUCUUUGAUAGUUCCUUGUACAAUUAAAAUGUUGCAUAGUUGAGUAGGUGCUUCCUCGGUGUGUACGGCCAAAAGAAUAGUUAAUCUUAAAUGGACGAGAAUGUGGGGUCCUCUUUGCCAGAUGAUAUUCUCGAUCAGUUGUUUGCUUAUGCUAAAACCACAAGUCUAGCGGACGCCUUAGAAGUUCUUGUGAAAUAUCAAGAAAUGCAGACUGUCUUUGCUUUGGUACUUGAUCUAAUUCAAGGACACUCGCAAUAUUUGACUGAACUUCUGGUACCAUCACUGCAGCUUCUGAGGAACCUAUGUGCUUGGAGAAGUUGUAAAUCAGAAUACUUUCAUUGAGAAGAAUGGAGUUGGGAUCAAUUUGACUGUCUUGAGGGCUCUGAUGCACACUCCUGCCUUAGAUUGAGGAGCCAUCAGGAUAGCCUUGCACACUCUAGCAAAUGUCUCAUUG